GGGAUUACAGGCAUGAGCCACCACACUCGGCCUCCUGUGACCUUUAAGAUGAAUAUUUUAAAGACUUUUUCCCACAUGUGUACCUUUCCAGAAGGUUCACACCAUUUGUGCUUUCUCUAGACCUGUAUAACCAGAAGCUCUUGGGAACAUGAGUUCUUGAGAAUAUCAGCACUGGCGUCAGAGGGGAUGAAAUAACUUUCAAAGAUCAGGAUAACUACCUUGCCAAUGUAUAGGGCUUCUCAUGGCUGCAGUUUCCAGAACAACUUUUCUUUUGGUCCAGGACGAUCUUCCCCAUUGCUGUGGUUUGGAUAUGGUUUGUUUGGCCCUGCCAAGUCUCAUGUUAACAUUUGAUACCCAACAUGUUGGUGGCAGGGCCUGGUGGAAGGUGUUUGGGCCAUGGGGUGGAUCCCUCAUGGCUUGGUGCCAUGCUCAAGGUAGUAAGUGAGUUCUCGCUCUAUUAGUUCCUGUGAGAGCUACUUGUUAAAAAGAGACUGGCACCUCCUCCUGUCUUCUUGCUUUUGCUCUUGCCAUGUGAUCUCUGUACACACUGAUUCCCCUUUGCCUUCUGCCAUGAGUGGAAGAUUCCUGAGGCCCUCAUCAGAAGCAGAUGAUGGGUACCAUGCUUCUUGUAUAGCCUGAAGAACCGUGAACCAAAUAAACCUCUUUUUCUUUAUAAAUUACCUAGCUUUGGGGCCGGGUGUGGUGGCUCACGCCUGUAAUCACAGCACUCUGGGA
rnacentral:lncRNA from 1 species